rnacentral:rRNA from 1 species
AGAGUUUGAUUAUGGCUCAGGAUGAACGCUAGCGGCAGGCUUAACACAUGCAAGUCGAGGGGCAGCGGGAUGUAGCAAUACAUUGCCGGCGACCGGCGGAUGGGUGCGUAACGCGUAUGCAACCUACCUUAUACAGGGGAAUAACCUUUCGAAAGGGAGACUAACACCCCAUAGUAUUGAUUUAAGGCAUCUUAGAUUAAUUAAAUAUUUAUAGGUAUAAGAUGGGCAUGCGUAUGAUUAGCUAGUUGGUAGGGUAACGGCUUACCAAGGCGACGAUCAUUAGGGGUUCUGAGAGGAAGGUCCCCCACACUGGUACUGAGACACGGACCAGACUCCUACGGGAGGCAGCAGUGAGGAAUAUUGGUCAAUGGGCGCAAGCCUGAACCAGCCAUGCCGCGUGCAGGAAAGACGGCCUUACGGGUUGUAAACUGCUUUUACAUAAGACUAACCGUAUAUUUGCGAAUAUACCUGAAUGUAUUAUGAGAAUAAGGAUCGGCUAACUCCGUGCCAGCAGCUGC